GACGAACGCUGGCGGCGUGCCUAAUACAUGCAAGUUGAGCGCUGAAGGUUGGUACUUGUACCAACUGGAUGAGCAGCGAACGGGUGAGUAACGCGUGGGGAAUCUGCCUUUGAGCGGGGGACAACAUUUGGAAACGAAUGCUAAUACCGCAUAAAAACUUUAAACACAAGUUUUAAGUUUGAAAGAUGCAAUUGCAUCACUCAAAGAUGAUCCCGCGUUGUAUUAGCUAGUUGGUGAGGUAAAGGCUCACCAAGGCGAUGAUACAUAGCCGACCUGAGAGGGUGAUCGGCCACAUUGGGACUGAGACACGGCCCAAACUCCUACGGGAGGCAGCAGUAGGGAAUCUUCGGCAAUGGACGAAAGUCUGACCGAGCAACGCCGCGUGAGUGAAGAAGGUUGUCGGAUCGUAAAACUCGGUUGGUAGAGAAGAACGUUGGUGAGAGUGGAAAGCUCAGCAAGUGACGGUAACUACCCAGAAAGGGACGGCUAACUACGUG
rnacentral:rRNA from 1 species